rnacentral:rRNA from 1 species
UACGUAGGGUGCGAGCGUUAAUCGGAAUUACUGGGCGUAAAGUGUGCGCAGGCGGCCGCGCAAGUCGAGUGUGAAAGCCCCGAGCUUAACUUGGGAAUUGCGCUCGAAACUACGUGGCUGGAGUGUGGCAGAGGAAGGUGGAAUUCCAGGUGUAGCGGUGAAAUGCGUAGAGAUCUGGAGGAACACCGAUGGCGAAGGCAGCCUUCUGGGCCAACACUGACGCUCAUGCACGAAAGCGUGGGGAGCAAAAGGG